rnacentral:rRNA from 1 species
UAAGGAAUAUUGGACAAUGGUCGGAAGACUGAUCCAGCCAUGCCGCGUGCAGGACGAAGGCGCUCAGCGUUGUAAACUGCUUUUGGAUGGGAAUAAUACUCUCGACUUGUCGGGACUUGAAGGUACCAUCAGAAUAAGCACCGGCUAACUCCGUGCCAGCAGCCGCGGUAAUACGGAGGGUGCGAGCGUUAUCCGGAAUCACUGGGUUUAAAGGGUGCGUAGGCGGCGAGGUAAGUCAGUUGUGAAAUUCCCCGGCUCAACCGGCGGGACUGCGAUUGAUACUGCUUUGCUUGAAACAGGUUGAGGUAAGCGGAAUGUGGCAUGUAGCGGUGAAAUGCAUAGAUAUGCCAUAGAACACCGAUUGCGAAGGCAGCUUGCUGGGCCUGAUUUGACGCUGAGGCACGAAAGCGUGGGGAGCAAACAGG